rnacentral:lncRNA from 1 species
AGUCAGGAACUUGUCCAGUUUGCAGAUUUACAUUAGAAUGAGAACAGAUUGGAAGGAAUUUGAAAUGUUACAAAGCGCUGAAUAACAAAAUAAAAAAUCUAUAUCACUUGCUGCUGGAACAGAUCUGUAAGACACAUCAAAGUAAACAAGAAAUACAAGACUUAGUGUAACACAGGAGGAAACACAGAAUUAUAAUAAUCCUUAUAGUGCUAUGAACAAUAUGACUUGAUGAAUAUUAAAAUGAUACAAGACUAUUAUAACAAUAAAGAAUACAAGAUAUAUACAAAUGUAACAGAGGUGGAAAAAUACAGAUUUGAAAUAACCCUUAUAGUGCUAUGAAAAAUAUGAUUAACUUUAAGGAAGAUGGGGCUUCUAAAUUAUAAUCCAUAGAACCUUUUAAUAAUUUGCCAAAAUGUAGUUCAUAUCCUGCUUUUUUAAAAACAGUAAUAAAAAGAAUGGGUCACCGGACUUAUUUUCACACUAUAGGUUGUGCAAAAUGUCAAGAUUUUGUAUAGAUUAUGCAUGGAAAACCAAAUUUUCCGCCAUAAAACGCAAACCACACCAUAGAUUUUGGAAAAAUAUGAGAAGAUAGCUCCAAUAUUAUGCUUUCAGAUAAGAAAAAGAAAAAAAUGGGGUCACCAGACUCAAUUUCUUGCACCAUGUAAAAAUUGGCAAAUUCCUACACAUUGUAUUGUAAAAGUAACACUAUCUGAAUUAUCUGCCCUUGCAUU